AACGGGAGAAGAUCAACAGGGAUUGCCCCAGUAACGGCGAGUGAAGCGGCAACAGCUCAAAUUUGAAAUCUGGCCCCCGGGUCCGAGUUGUAAUUUGCAGAGGAUGCUUCGGGCGAGGUGCCUUCCGAGUUCCCUGGAACGGGACGCCACAGAGGGUGAGAGCCCCGUCUGGUCGGACACCGAGCCCGUGUGAAGCUCCUUCGAAGAGUCGAGUAGUUUGGGAAUGCUGCUCAAAAUGGGAGGUAUAUGUCUUCUAAAGCUAAAUAUUGGCCAGAGACCGAUAGCGCACAAGUAGAGUGAUCGAAAGAUGAAAAGCACUUUGAAAAGAGGGUUAAAAAGUACGUGAAAUUGUUGAAAGGGAAGCGCCCAUGACCAGACUUGGGCCCGGUGAAUCACCCGGCGUUCUCGCCGGUGCACUUUGCCGGGCACAGGCCAGCAUCAGUUUGGCGCGGGGGACAAAGGCUUCGGGAACGUGGCUCCCUCGGGAGUGUUAUAGCCCGCUGCGUAAUACCCUGCGCCGGACUGAGGUACGCGCAUCGCAAGGAUGCUGGCGUAAUGGUCAUCAGCGACCCGUCUUGAAACACGGACCAAGGAGUCGUCUUCGUAUGCGAGUGUUCGGGUGUCAAACCCCUACGCGGAAUGAAAGUGAACGCAGGUGAGAGCUUCGGCGCAUCAUCGACCGAUCCUGAUGUUCUCGGAUGGAUUUGAGUAAGAGCAUACGGGGCCGGACCCGAAAGAAGGUGAACUAUGCCUGUAUAGGGUGAAGCCAGAGGAAACUCUGGUGGAAGCUCGCAGCGGUUCUGACGUGCGAAUCGAUCGUCAAAUAUGGGCAUGGGGGCGAAAGACUAAUCGAACCUUCUAGUAGCUGGUUUCCGCCGAGUUCCCCCUUCGGAAAAG
rnacentral:rRNA from 1 species